GCGACCCCAGGAAGGGCGAGGCCACCCGCCGAGUUUAAGCAUAUCAAUAAGCGGAGGAGAAG
rnacentral:rRNA from 2 species